rnacentral:lncRNA from 1 species
CAUCCAUCAUAUCCAACACACACAACCAAGAUGAAUUAAUCACCAAAAGAUCAAAUUUGAUUUCAAAAUUUUGAUGAAUAUAUGUAUUAAGAAAUCAUAUAUUAAAUUAUCGUCAAAAUAAUAAAAAGUGGAGUAAAACCGAUAAUUAAUAUGAAUUUAAUUCAAGAUGAAUUCCAGUUAAAACACUUUGAAAAAUUCUAAUCUCCCAAAAAAAAAUUUUCAAUCGUCUCCUUCCUUAACGAAAAAUUUUAAAUUCCUAAACACCUUUCCUCAAAAACAAAUAAAAUUCA